AGAGGGGAGCUUCGGUGCUGGGCAGCCUGUCUCUGAAUAAAAGUAGGCCUGGAAGCCUCAGUGCUGGCAAUAAUAAUACUAAGUAAGUAAGAAGGAGAAAUGCUAGCAAAUUGAUUGCAAAAGCUAACAAGGAGCGAGUGGACAUCCACUUUCAGGACGUGUAUUAUAUUCCAUUUACUCUUCAGACAAACCUGUGGCACAGAACAGAUUGUAAUCACUUUACAGACUGAAUUCAGCUCUGAAGGGUCUGCAUUCAGCUCUGAAGCUUUGUCAUGUCACCCAGAGUGGCAGGAGCUAUAUAGUCUGUGCCCCAUCCCCAUGGCACCCCUACGAUAGAAGAUUCCAGCGUCUGAAGGCUUUUCUGAUACCAUGAUGAAGCCAAGGGGAAAGGUGGUUGGAAAUAAUUACACAGGGACUUGACUAUCAAACAGAGUAUGCAAGUACCAUCUUUUUUUUUUUUUUUUAAAGAUUUUAUUUACUUAUUAAUGAGAAAGAGAGGAGGAGAGAGAAAAAGAGCCAGACAUCACUCUGGUACAUGUGCUGCUGAGGAUCGAACACAGGACCUCAUGCUUGAGAGUCUAGUUCCUUAGCCACUGCGCCACCUCCCGGACCACGCAAGUACCAUCUUUUAGGUAAAGAGAACAUGCUGGUGGUCUGGGAGGUGGCACAGUGGGUAAAGCACUGACUCUCAAGCAUGAUGUCCUGAGUUCUAUCCCUGGCAGCCCAUGUACCAGUGUGAUGUCUGGUUCAUUCUUUCUCUCCUGUCUUUCUCACUAAUAAAAUAACUAGAAUGUUGGAAAGAAAAGAACAUUCUGGAAUAGACAGGAACAUGGUAGCUAUGUGUUAAGAGCCAGAUCAUCUGGGGACUCAUAGGAUGGUGCUAUUGAGCCAUAGGGAAACAGGACAAGACUUGGGUGUCUGUCCUCUCUAGCCAACUCAGAGGUAUGAAAAAUACAGUCCUCAUGGUACAUAGCUAACAGUUUAAAUGUGUGUCUUACAAGAUUUGUCUGCAGAUUAAUUAAUAGACACAGCCACAAUGUGCAGCAAAUAACAAGAAAGCAAAAAGAGCCAGUGGAAGAGAGACUACAGACAGGGUACUGUCCGCACUUACACAGCCGGUGCUGGCACGCACCUCUGUGAACAAAGAGCGUGUGUUCCAGUGACAUGCUUCUUUGUCAGGGGCUUCACUGCCAGAGGCAUAAAUAACACAGGCAGAACAGGGCGUGUCUCGCUGCCCUACCAACAUCCUCUACUGGACUGUCUGUCAGUCCAUAUGUCUGAAGGGGCUGUUGUCACAGUGCCCCGAUUCUGAGUGUUGCUGGGUGUGUAGACAUCUGGGUGUGAGGAAAGGUAGGCUAUAGAAAGCGUCUAAUCCACAAUGAUGUCUUAUGGAUGGGCUUAUGGAUCUGAAAGUCUGGAAGGAAAAAUUAAGAUGGUGGUAAAGAGUCUGCACUAUGGAUGGAUUUCUUUUACUUCUCUUGAUGUUAAUGUUUGCCCAAUAAGUAAUACAAAUAUUAACUAGUUUUUGGUCUUGGCACUCCUUUGGACCUUAAAACUUCGCAUGUUGGGAGUCGGGCUGUAGUACAGCGGUCUAAGUGCAGGUGGCGCAAAGCACAAAGACCGGCAUAAGGAUCCCGGUUCGAACCCCGGCUCCCCACCUGCAGGGGAGUCGCUUCACAGGCGGUGAAGCAGGUCUGCAGGUGUCUGUCUUUCUCUCCUCCUCUCUGUCUUCCCCUCCCUCUCUCCAUUUCUCUCUGUCCUAUCCAACAACAACAACAACAAUAAAACAACAAGGGCAACAAAAGGGAAAAAAUAAAUAAAAUAAAUAUAAAAAAAAAGUUAAAAAAAAAAAAAAAACUUCGCAUGUUACUGAGAAUGUGUGUGUAUCCCAGUCAGGCCCUGAAGACCACUUUGCGCUGACUGACUAACUUGCAGUUACUUGAAUCUGCUUCCCUCCCCACUGCCUCACACCAGGUUAUUUGCCAAGUCGUGCAAUGACCCAAAUCUUCCACAAACAUUGUGACUUUGGACAAACUGUAAUAAAAAUGAAGACAAAACAGUCCCCUUCAGACUUUGGUAUAACUGAUUUUGAAACUAGCUCAGUAGAAUGGCCACCUUCUCUCUUUCCUAAAGACAACAUAGAAGGCUGGUGCGUUACUCUGCGUAUUGAAUGCUCACACCCUUCCCUCCCUUCCCCUCUCCUUCUCUCCCAACACAGCAACACAGGCAUACACUGGUAAACCUGCCUGUGAGUCUCCACGACGUGCUGUGUGCCUGUUAGCAGUUCGGCAACACAUGGAAGUUGUUUGAAGGAUUCAAACUCUGAACUAGGUGUCCUAGGUCUCUCCUGAGCAUCUGGGGACAUGCAACUGAGCUAGCGUGUUAAACAUCCGAGUAACCCCACAGGGUCCUUCUCCUCCAUCAUUUGUCAGUGUCCCCGCCUGCCGGACUCUCCUACCUCAAAGGGGUUUCCUUGUCAAGAUGGCGCUAAGACUGAUCCGAGAGCCCCACUCCUGCUGAAUGGACUCUACUAACUGCUCAGAGCUUGUUUUUGCCAGCUCCUGCCUGGUCGCAGGCCACUCUGGGGUUCUUGCUGGCAUUUGGUGCCUGCACGACAAAUCAACAGCUCCUGGUGGGCUGGAGAGAAAGCAUAAUGAUUAUGCAGACAGCUUUCACGCCUCAGGCUCUUGCAGUCCCAGGUUCAGUCCCCAGCACCACCUUAAGUCAGAGCUGACCACUAGUCUGGUGUCUCUCUCUCUGUAUCUUUCUUUCUGUAGCUCUUAUUAAAAAUAAGUAAAAUAUAUUGCACCAAAGUAAAAGACUCUGGGGUGGGUGGGGGAGACUAAAGACCCAAAAAGGAUGACAGAGGACCUAGUGGGGUUGUAUUGUUAUGUGGAAAACUGAGAAAUGUUAUGCAUGUACAAACUAUUGUAUUUACUGUCAACUGUAAAACAUUAAUCCCCCAAUAAAGAAAUAAAAAAUAAACAAAAAAUAAGUAAAAUAGGGAGCGGGUGGUAGUGCAGAAGGUUAAGUGCAUGUGGGGUGAAACGCAAGGACCGGCAUAAGGAUCCCAGUUGGAGCCCCUGGCUCCCCACCUGCAGGGGAGUCACUUCACAGGUGGUGAAGCAGGUCUGCAGGUGUCUGUCUUUCUCUCUGCCUUUCUGUAUUCCCCUCCUCUCCAUUUCUCUCUGUCCUAAUAACGACAUCAAUAACAAUAAUAACUACAACAACAAUUAAAAACAAACAAGGGCUACAAAAGGAGGAAUAUAUAUAACCUUAAAAGGGGGGUGUGA